CUUGCGGUCAUAUCACGUUGAAACAUAGGUUCUCGUAUGAUUACCGAAGUUAAGCGACGUCGUACCUGGUUAGUAUGUAGAUGGGUGACUACUGGGGAAUAUUAGGUGUUGUAAG